AUUGAACGCUGGCGGCAUGCUUUACACAUGCAAGUCGAACGGUAACAGGCCGCAAGGUGCUGACGAGUGGCGAACGGGUGAGUAAUGCAUCGGAACGUGCCCAGUCGUGGGGGAUAACGCAGCGAAAGCUGCGCUAAUACCGCAUACGAUCUCUGGAUGAAAGCGGGGGACCGAAAGGCCUCGCGCGAUUGGAGCGGCCGGUGUCAGAUUAGGUAGUUGGUGGGGUAAAGGCUCACCAAGCCAACGAUCUGUAGCUGGUCUGAGAGGACGACCAGCCACACUGGGAGUGGGACACGGCACAGACUCCUACGGGAGGCAGCAGUGGGGAAUUUUGGACAAUGGGCGCAAGCCUGAUCCGGCAAUGCCGCGUGCAGGAAGAAGGCCUUCGGGUUGUAAACUGCUUUUGUACGGAACGAAACGGUCCGGGUUAAUACCCUGGGCUAAUGACGGUACCGUAAGAAUAAGCACCGGCUACCUACGUGCCAGCCGCCGCCGUAAUAC
rnacentral:rRNA from 1 species